AUUACCCCCUGUAGGCUGAAAAGCCGUAGUGGGGGGAAUGGCUCAGAUAUCCCCAGGAAACAGGAGAGUGAGGUGUGCAGAGAAUGGUGUCUGAGAUUGGAGAGGGCAGGCUGCUUGUAGGAGGAAACAGGGGGAAGGUCAGAGAGUCGAUGCUGAGGAUGGCAGCUUCCAAGGUGUUUCAAAUGAGAACCCCAGUUGCUGUUCCUCACUCCAUGGGAGAGAAGCCUGAUGAGAGUGUGAGUGAAGGAGCAGUGAAUCCAGAAGGCUUCCCUUGUGUGGUGAAGAUGGACAGCUGCUGAUAGAAGACACUGCAUCAAAGAUAUCCUGGGUGAUUUACAGCCUUCUCAAAUGGCACUGGGCACCUGUGCAUUGGACAGAAACCCUGGCCUUUGCUUUGUGAAUCAGCACCCUCCUUAAAAGCCGCAACAAUGUGGUCAUGGCCGCAGCCAAGCAUGGUAGCAGUGAGCAAGUUGGACAAAUCUUUGAACAGGAUGAUUGAAGUGUUUUGGUUUGGUUUGGUUGGAAGACUGUACUAGCUUGCCAGGGGGAAUUCAGAGGAAAGCAGAAUAUUUUCCCAAAGAGAAGUAAGCCUGAAAACUGCGAGGUUCGAGACUAAGCAGUCUGUUGCUGCGUGAAUUUGGAGGCAUUUCCAAGUCCUGUUGGCCAGUGAAGGAGUUUCCAAAUGUCCUCUCUAAAUGCCCAGUGAAGUCAUAUGCUCCAUGUGAAAAGCUUACAGAAAAGCUUCCUCCAAUACUUCCCAUCAGCUGGGUGCCUUUUUGUCACUGGUGGCAGUGGCUGCUGAGGAAAAAGCUACUGUGCAUAUGCAGGAAAGCAAUUUUGCAAGCUCCAGCCCAGGGCACAGCAGUGCAUGCUUUGUGCAGUUGACCUGUGUAUGUGCAGCAUGCAUGGAGUGACACUGAAUCUCAAGGCAUGAAAUGUGAUUUCUCUGCUAUCAUCAGGACUCCCAUUUACUACAGGCUCCAUUGUCCCAGAAAUCCUUAUGACAGCCUUGUUGUGUAGAAAGGCAGUUGUCAGGGCAAGCACCUCAAAAGGGAGCUGGGACAGAAGCAGUGGGCAAAGCUCAGCAAAUAAAGAGCUUUGGCUGGCACUGACCUGCAGCUGGAGGUAAAAUGAGCAGGAGGAGCAGAGAUGCUGCUCAGCAUUUGUGCACCGUAAGGGCAGCAUGUGACUACUGAUAGAAGGCAGAGAAGACAAGGACCUACUGUCGCAGAGGAGACACUGCUGCAAAGAGAGUACACUACUGCAAGGUAUACAGCUCUUCGGGUGGGAGCUGAACUGCAGCAUGGUGGGAGAUCUGCAGCCUUUCAAGGCUUUGAACUGCGGUGUGGCAUUGGGAGGGGCCCAGCACCACUCCGGUGCCUCUGGGUAUCUCUGCUGGAUUCAUCCAGGCCUGACUUUCAUUUCUGUCAGCAACAGGAAACCACUUACAGGGUGGGGAUUUGAAAGAAGUAGAGGAAGUUCCUUAUUCUUUUUUACUCUCCUCUGUAUCUUUGCUGAUGUUGAAAAUGGAGGAUCAACUUUCAUCAUCAAAUGUGAUUUCAUUUUUCACUCCUGUUGAGAAUGGCAGAAUAUUUUGCGUGGUUCUCAUCUUGGCCUGGAGGAAACACUAGAAAACUGGAUGAGAUCCAAGCAGUUCAGAUACCACGACUCAGAGGAGCAUUUGCAAAGGAGUGGGUGCUCAUCUGUUGUGCAUUGGCAGGUUCCCUUGAACUCAGUAGUACUCAUCUGAUUUAUACCAGUCACAGUGGUGCCCUGCAAACCUCGAGUUAUUUGUCUAUGCUGUCUUUGCCAAGCUUCCAAACCUGUUGACUUGAACUUUCAGUGGUUGCAUUCCAAGUGCUCUCACUCCACCCUUCCUGGCAAUAGGUAUCCAUGUAGCUCCGUGUGAUGGCCGUGGGAACUGCUGAUGUAUAUCCUACUGAAGAACAGAGCAUUGGUGUCUGGAUCCUGCUGUUUUGCAGAGUCAAGGCUUGAGGCACUCGGCCACUGGUGCUGAGGUGAAGGGCAGUGAGUUGGACAGAAGUCAUUCAGGAUCAGAGUGGUGGCCUAACUUAUCUGGGAUCUUGGCUCUGAAAAUGGCUAGUGCUAACUGCUGUGGAGGAAACUGCCUCAUUUUCUCCUAUUAUUUAAUUCUGAUAUGAAGCAACCCUUUUUUUCUCAACAGGAAGAAUAUCUGUUUCUGAAAAAAGGAUUUGACUUUGCACUACUCAUUCUGUAGUCCCCAAACUUUUUACAGCUCUUGAAGUUUUUGUGCUGUCUUUUUGUGUAUUUAGAAGACAGUAGGGGAAUGGAUAAAAAAAAUAUUAAAGCUUCCUCCAAAUUCUU